AGUGAACGCUGGCGGUAGGCCUAACACAUGCAAGUCGAACGGCAGCACAGUAAGAGCUUGCUCUUACGGGUGGCGAGUGGCGGACGGGUGAGGAAUACAUCGGAAUCUACUUUUUCGUGGGGGAUAACGUAGGGAAACUUACGCUAAUACCGCAUACGACCUACGGGUGAAAGCAGGGGAUCUUCGGACCUUGCGCGAUUGAAUGAGCCGAUGUCGGAUUAGCUAGUUGGCGGGGUAAAGGCCCACCAAGGCGACGAUCCGUGGCUGGUCUGAGAGGAUGAUCAGCCACACUGGAACUGAGACACGGUCCAGACUCCUACGGGAGGCAGCAGUGGGGAAUAUUGGACAAUGGGCGCAAGCCUGAUCCAGCCAUACCGCGUGGGUGAAGAAGGCCUUCGGGUUGUAAAGCCCUUUUGUUGGGUAAGAAAAGCAGCAGGUUAAUACCCCGCUGUUCUGACGGUACCCAAAGAAUAAGCACCGGCUAACUUCGU
rnacentral:rRNA from 1 species